GACGAACGCUGGCGGCGUGCCUAAUACAUGCAAGUCGAACGCAGUGGGGACGGGUGAGUAACACGUGGGUAACCUCCCAUCAGAGGGGAUAACACUUGGAAACAGGUGCUAAACCGAUACGGAUGGCUGGACCCGCGGUGCAUUAGCUAGUUGGUGAGGUAACGGCUAACCAAGGCCACGAUGCAUAGCCGGCCUGAGAGGAUGAUCGGCCACACUGGGACGGAGACACGGCCCAGACUCCUACGGGAGGCAGCAGUAGGGAAUAUUCGGCAAUGGGCGAAAGUCUGACGGAGCAACGCCGCGUGAGUGAAGAAGGUUUUCGGAUCGUAAAGCUCUGUUGGUAGAGAAGCGGUACCUAAACAGGAAGCCACGGCUAACUACGUGCCAGCAGCCGCGGUAAUAC
rnacentral:rRNA from 1 species